rnacentral:misc_RNA from 1 species
AGCAGCCGCGGUAAUUCCAGCUCCAAUAGCGUGUAUUAAAGUUGUUGCAGUUAAAAAGCUCGUAGUUGAAUUUCGGGGUUAGUAGGUUGGUCAUGCCUCUGGUAUGUACUGGUCUCACUGAUUCCUCCUUCCUGAUGAGCCGUAAUGCCAUUAAUUUGGUGUUGCGGGGAAUUUGGACUGUUACUUUGAAAAAUUAGAGUGUUUAAAGCAAGCUAACGCUUGAAUACAUUAGCAUGGAAUAAUGAAAUAGGACGUUCGAUCCUAUUUUGUUGGUUUCUAGGAUUGACGUAAUGAUUAAUAGGGAUAGUUGGGGGCAUUAGUAUUCAAUUGUCAGAGGUGAAAUUCUUGGAUUUAUUGAAGACUAACUACUGCGAAAGCAUUUGCCAAGGAUGUUUUCAUUAAUCAAGAACGAAAGUUAGGGGAUCGAAGACGAUCAGAUACCGUCGUAGUCUUAACCAUAAACUAUGCCGACUAGGGAUCGGAUGAUGUUAAUUUUUAAUGUACUCAUUCGG